GGCAGCGAAGGAGCAGCUCUCCUCCUGAGUCUCCAUCCCAGAGCUGAAGGAGAAGAAGAAGAGCGGCAGAAGUCAUCAGUCCCUCCUCACCGGUGCAUCCCGGCAGCUCCUGAAGUUGAAGCCAAAACAUCCACUGUGAGGUCAAGAGGAUAUGAUGUGCCGUGAAGACUGACCUGAAAACCUGUCAGAAGACUGAUUGUCCUCAACACACAGGAUCCUUCAGGAUUCGAUGCAGAGACCUGCGACACCAGGAGGCCAUCACCUGACAACCAAGAUGUCUGUUAGAUAACACAGAGUGCAGACAAAGCAAAGACAUGAACACACACAUAUCAUACAUCACACAUGAACUUUGGCUCAUCAUACUUCAUUCUUUUCAACUGCAAUCCUCUCACUCUUUUCUUUCACGAGCCUCUGCUUAGUUAUGGCGUCACCAGGUAAACAAAAGUACAUGAACUUCUAACUCAGAUCAUUAAAGUUUAGAUUACAAAUGUUACAAAUAACAAAUACAAAUUGUAAUACAAUGUAGUGGUGAAAGUAUUCAAGGAAUACCAAAAUGUAAAAAUACAUUAUUACAAGUAUGAGGCUUUAAUACAACGUUUGGCUUAAGUAAGUAUUAUCACCAAAAUGUACUCACUUGUUCACAAGUAGAAGCAUUAAUAAUCCAGAAUGGCUCCUUUAAGAGUGUUGUAUAAUUAUAUUACUGGAUUAUCAGCACUGGUGCAUUAAUACGUGAGCAGCAUUUUGAUGUUGUAGGUGGACGAGAUGGAGCUAAUUUGAACUACGUCAUAUAUUAUUGGGUAGUUUAUUCCCUAACAAUGCCUCAUAUACUAUAAGAUAAUCAUAUGUUUUAUGUGUAAAAUCUUUAAUCUGCAAAAUAACUAGGAGUAGUAAGUGUAAAAUAAAUAAGGUGCAAUAAAAAAAGUACAAUAUUUCCACCUGAAAUGUUUGUGUUAGCAUAGUAAAGUGUAAAGUAAAGUAGAUAAUGAAUGUAAAGUUGGUACUUUCCAACUUAGUAGUAAAACAUACUAUAUAAUAUCUGCU